rnacentral:rRNA from 1 species
GACGAACGCUGGCGGCGUGCCUAAUACAUGCAAGUGGGACGCAAGGAAACACACUGUGCUUGCACACCGUGUUUUCUUGAGUCGCGAACGGGUGAGUAACGCGUAGGUAACCUGCCUAUUAGCGGGGGAUAACUAUUGGAAACGAUAGCUAAUACCGCAUAAUAUUAAUUAUUGCAUGAUAAUUGAUUGAAAGAUGCAAGCGCAUCACUAGUAGAUGGACCUGCGUUGUAUUAGCUAGUUGGUAAGGUAAGAGCUUACCGAGGCGACGAUACAUAGCCGACCUGAGAGGGUGAUCGGCCACACUGGGACUGAGACACGGCCCAGACUCCUACGGGAGGCAGCAGUAGGGAAUCUUCGGCAAUGGACGAAAGUCUGACCGAGCAACGCCGCGUGAGUGAAGAAGGUUUUCGGAUCGUAAAGCUCUGUUGUAAGUCAAGAACGUGUGUGAGAGUGGAAAGUUCACACAGUGACGGUAGCUUACCAGAAAGGGACGGCUAACUACGUG